GCAUUGUUGGUUCAAUGGUAGAGUUCUCACCUUCCAUUUGAAAAACUUGGGUUCUAUUCCCAGCCAAUGCA
rnacentral:tRNA from 1 species